CCCAACUUUGCUGGGAAGCCUCAGUGAAGACAGGGGCGCACAGACGAGGGUUGGCCGCUGGGAACUAGCGCCCCCUCCUGCGCAGGGGAGUUGGGGCCACACGCCCGCCCCGGACCUGCCCAGUAGUUUUUGAGCACUGGCGCUCUUUUCAAUUUGGGUCUGCGCAGGUUUAGAGGCCUGGGAGGCUAAGAGUCGACUAGAGGAAAAUGAGGGAGGCCAGCGGAGGCGGCCGGUGGCGAUGGUGAGUAGCAAAAACAGUGGAUACUUUGUGGAAAAACCCAAGUCUAGAGGCUUUUACCCCAUCUCGCCCUCACUCCCCUUCUCCGCCCACGUAGCCGGGGCGGGGGCCCAGCGCUCUGGGCUCACUCUCCCCCUUCUACGCCGGGAUGGGGAGUGAGCGCCAGGGCUCCAGAGGCUCGACUGCGAAUCGCGGCGCCCCCGCUCGCUCGCUCUUCCUCCUCCUCGUCACCGCCUCGACUCCGCUAAGCUUUCGGAGCGCGCUCGGGCGGCGCACAGAACACCCGGGAGGGAGCGGGAGCCGGAGCCCGCGAGGCCAGGGCGCGCGGCGGGCAGGCAGGUGAGCGGCGCUUGGCGGGCGCGGGGCCGGCGGGGCGGGGGCGCGGGAGGAGGCGGGUCUGCGCGCGGGGCGGUCUCCUCCCCCUGCUCUGACGCGGGGCCCGUGGCUCCCCGGGAGGAUGGACCCAGCUCGGCGCUCGCCCGGGCUUCCCCGGGCUGGAGAGCGCGCCUGAGUGCCGCCGCCCGCCGGGCAUGGGGAGCCGCUUCCUGGGCGGCUGCGGCUGCGGAGGAGGAUGCUUUCCGCGAGCAGAGCGCUCGGAAGGAGUGAAUGAAAUGUGCAACUCGGGGUGUCAUUUCUGAAAGGAGGAGUCAUUUUCUUGAAGAGGAGUCCUCAAUGAGCCUGGCCAAGGCCCGGGAUCUGUGUGAAGUGGACUAAGGAUUUAGUAGGAUGUCAACUGAGACAGAACUUCAAGUAGCUGUGAAAACCAGCGCCAAAAAAGACUCCAGAAAGAAAGGUAGGGCUCAAUCUGUUCCUUUCCCAAUGGCUACUUAUUGUGCAGGAGUGGGUUUUCGGUCUUUGGAAUAGUACUUGGUACUAUCUUUGUGACUGCA
rnacentral:lncRNA from 1 species